AUAGCCUAAAGACAGAAAAAUUACUCUUUAAGCAAGACAUUUCAUUCAAAAACUUGUAAAGACAAGCAACUCUCACUUUGAAUGGGGAAGAGGGAAAUCAAGAACACAGUUCAGAUAUGCAAGAGUUUCAGUUAACAUGGUACCAUACAAAGUGAGGACUGCCUGUACAGAAAGAAAAAAUAGGCAUUGGGAAUUUAUUUUUUGUUUUUGUAUAUUGUCUUCACAUCUCAAAGAAAAUGUAAAAGAAUGCAGAAAAAUAUUUCAUUAAAAAAAAUGCUGCCUGAAAUAUUUCCCUGAAACUAGCAUAAUGCAAACUUAGGCCAAUCCUGUAACAUUUCAGAAUAUUUUCAACCAAAAACAACAAAAAGCUUUCUGAUAAAAUUAAACAGCAAUUUAUAAAAUGCUCAUUUAAGUAGCAACACAGAAAUGCUGUCUCUUGGUAAGAACCCAAACCUUAGCUAUCAAGACGUCCAGGUCCAUUUUGAGAGCUUAUGUUCUGCUCCACCAACUUCCAAGGUCAAUUUUGUCCUAAAUCUGUUUCAUUGUAUCACUUUCACAUAUCAGUUGCUUAUAGUAGAUUUUCUGCUGUUCUCAUGUUGUAAUUGAUAAGGGAUUUGUAAAUGAUCAGUCAGCAAAAAUGACUACUAUUAUCCCAAAAAGUACAAAUAUACUGAUAUUCAUGACUGUUUUUUUUUUUUUCAAUAGAAACCUGCAACCUAGGGAAAAGAUGAUAGUCUGACUGCUGCUUGCACAAAUAGCAGGGAGGCCUUUCUUUAGUACAAUGGACUGACAAUGAGCAUAGUUUUUGUAAGGCUGGAAUAACAAGUUACGAAAUACCACCAUCAUCACAGCUGAGAAGGAUGUGAGAGCCGAUUCUGCACUGCAAUCACCAGCUCACAGCACUUAGUUGAAUGUCUCCUCUCCUCCAAAACCAGAGCCAAGGCCAUCAGCAGAACCCUCAAAGUCAUCUGAGAUGAGAUACUGCAGGAUUAAAUAUGAACUUUUCCUCAACGGUUUGAUGGAUCAAAGUUAUAGUGUCUUCAGCAAUUUUUAUCCAAUUAUAGUUUGAAGAGUUAAGCUAUAACUUAAACUUAUAUUUAAGCAAAACCAGCAUAAGUGAAAAAAAGUACCACUUCAAAACAGAUUCAAAAACAAGAAAUAAAACAAAAGCUUAAGAA